GACGAACGCUGGCGGCGUGCUUAACACAUGCAAGUCGAACGGAAAGGCCCUGCUUUUGUGGGGUGCUCGAGUGGCGAACGGGUGAGUAACACGUGAGUAACCUGCCCUUGACUUUGGGAUAACUUCAGGAAACUGGGGCUAAUACCGGAUAGGAGCUCCUGCUGCAUGGUGGGGGUUGGAAAGUUUCGGCGGUUGGGGAUGGACUCGCGGCUUAUCAGCUUGUUGGUGGGGUAGUGGCUUACCAAGGCUUUGACGGGUAGCCGGCCUGAGAGGGUGACCGGCCACAUUGGGACUGAGAUACGGCCCAGACUCCUACGGGAGACAGCAGUGGGGAAUAUUGCACAAUGGGCGGAAGCCUGAUGCAGCAACGCCGCGUGCGGGAUGACGGCCUUCGGGUAGUAAACCGCUUUCGCCUGUGACGAAGCGUGAGUGACGGUAAUGGGUAAAGAAGCACCGGCUAACUACGUG
rnacentral:rRNA from 1 species